rnacentral:rRNA from 1 species
UACGUAGGGGGCAAGCGUUGUCCGGAAUCAUUGGGCGUAAAGAGCGCGUAGGCGGCCCAGUAAGUCCGCUCUGAAAGUCAGAGGCUCAACCUCUGGAUGCGGGUGGAUACUGCUGGGCUAGAGUCCGGAAGAGGCGAGUGGAAUUCCUGGUGUAGCGGUGAAAUGCGCAGAUAUCAGGAAGAACACCCGUGGCGAAAGCGGCUCUCUGGAACGGUACUGACGCUGAGACGCGAAAGCGUGGGGAGCGAACAGG